rnacentral:rRNA from 1 species
UACGUAGGGGGCUAGCGUUGUCCGGAUUUAUUGGGCGUAAAGAGCGUGUAGGCGGCCGAGUAAGUCCGGUGUGAAAACUCGAGGCUCAACCUCGAGACGUCGGCGGAAACCAUCUGGCUAGAGUCCGGAAGAGGAGAGUGGAAUUCCUGGUGUAGCGGUGAAAUGCGCAGAUAUCAGGAAGAACACCCGUGGCGAAGGCGGCUCUCUGGGACGGUACUGACGCUGAGACGCGAAAGCGUGGGGAGCGAACAGG